AACGAACGCUGGCGGCAGGCCUAACACAUGCAAGUCGAACGCCGUAGCAAUACGGAGUGGCGGACGGGUGAGUAACGCGUGGGAACCUUCCCAGUGGUACGGAAUAGCUCAGGGAAACCUGGGGUAAUACCGUAUACGCCCUUCGGGGGAAAGAUUUAUCGCCAUUGGAUAGGCCCGCGUCGGAUUAGCUAGUUGGUGGGGUAAUGGCCCACCAAGGCGACGAUCCGUAGCUGGUCUGAGAGGAUGAUCAGCCACACUGGGACUGAGACACGGCCCAGACUCCUACGGGAGGCAGCAGUGGGGAAUAUUGGACAAUGGGCGCAAGCCUGAUCCAGCCAUGCCGCGUGAGUGACGAAGGCCUUAGGGUUGUAAAGCUCUUUUGGCGGGGAAGACAAUGACGGUACCCGCAGAAUAAGCUCCGGCUAACUUCGUGCCAGCAGCCGCCGUAACAC
rnacentral:rRNA from 1 species